CGGACGGGUGAGUAAUGCUUGGGAAUCUGGCUUAUGGAGGGGGAUAACGACGGGAAACUGUCGCUAAUACCGCGUAGAAUCGAGAGAUGAAAGUGCGGGACCGCAAGGCCGCAUGCCAUAGGAUGAGCCCAAGUGGGAUUAGGUAGUUGUGGGGUAAAGGCCUACCAAGCCGACGAUCUCUAGCUGGUCUGAGAGGAUGACCAGCCACACCGGGACUGAGACACGGCCCGG
rnacentral:rRNA from 1 species